CAGUCGCCGCGGUAAUACGGAGGGGGCUAGCGUUGUUCGGAAUUACUGGGCGUAAAGCGCGCGUAGGCGGUUACUCAAGUCAGAGGUGAAAGCCCGGGGCUCAACCCCGGAACUGCCUUUGAAACUAGGUGACUAGAAUCUUGGAGAGGUCAGUGGAAUUCCGAGUGUAGAGGUGAAAUUCGUAGAUAUUCGGAAGAACACCAGUGGCGAAGGCGACUGACUGGACAAGUAUUGACGCUGAGGUGCGAAAGCGUGGGGAGCAAACAGGAUUAGAUACCCGGGUAGUCCCUGUCUCUUAUAA
rnacentral:rRNA from 1 species